GUCUACGGCCAUACCACCCUGAAUGCAUCUGAUUUCUUCUGAUCUCGGAAGCUAAGCAGGGUCGGGCCUGGUUAGUACUUGGAUGCGAGUCAAAGUAGGUAUUGAUGAUC
rnacentral:rRNA from 1 species